GCCAAGGGCACAUGGUCAGAUGUAAUCUAGACUCACACAAAAGAAAAAGCAACAAGCAACACAUGUAAACACAAGGCAACAGGAGACACUCUUUUUUUCUUCAUCAAGUUGAUGCAUUCAUGUGUCAUAUUUACCAAGUGUUACUUAGAAUUGUGUCAUAACCUUGGCCUUUCAGCAAUUCCAAUCUAAUUAGGGAAAACAGCACUCACACAAAAUUAAUUUAAAACACAGCAAUAAAAAUUUUUCUAAAUCUUUAUGGUGAAAGCAUAUCUGCAUUUGUUACCACAUUUAAAUAUCGUUAUUUUAUUAUAAUAUCAAAUGAUGUUGAUAUGGAACAUGUGCCCACGUGCAAAAGUUAUGAAGCAACUAUUACAGUGAUUCUCCCGUAAAUCCACCACCUCACCAUGGAACUGGGGUAUGAUUUGAGCCCAUUUAUAUACUCCUUCCUAUCUCAUCUUUGCCUUCCUCCACUCUUAAGUUUUUUUUAUUUUGUUUUUUAUUCCCUUGCUUUUAAAAAACAGGGGCUGGGGCACCUGGGUGGCCAACUCUUGAUUUCAGCUCAGGUCACGAUCUCACUGUGGUGGGUUCGAAUACUAUGUCGGGUGCAUGCUGAGUGUGGAGCCUGCUUGGGAUUCUCCUUCUCCUUUAUUUCUGACCCAUCCCUGCUUGCUCUCUCUCCCUCUCUCUCUC